GCUCUUUGGAAAAUCUGGCCCCAUUGUAGUGGAGGACAGGAGCUGCCCCAAGCAAAGAAAGGAUUUAAGCCAAGAUGGUUUGUAGGAAGACAGCAGCUGCCCCUUUCAGCAGAUGCUGGGGAAGAACAGAGGGCCCUGCGGGAGAGGACAUGGAGCAGCUUCAACUCUGGUUGAAGUCAGUGGGAGGAGAGAACGUUCCUGGUGGAGAUUUUUGGAGCUGAACAACAGAGGAUAAACCAGACAGCAUGGGAUCUACAGCAUUGUAAGAGCGACAUGAGAAGAUCUGUGCAGCAGAUCAAAGGGACUUGGAGCACAAAGGAGGUCGCGAUGCAAUAAUCUGCUUACAAGGUGAUAGCAUGAGGGGCGCCUGGCAUAUGGCAAACCAUCUGUAGCACGAAUGCUCCAUCUAUGGAAAAGAAAAAAACAACAACAACUUCCCAGUCCACAAAAGAAUAACUUGCUUAGAUGGAUCAGCGUGGUGAUUUGUCUUCAUUCUCUGAACAAAAAUGAUUUGAUGGAACAUCAGCCAGAUAAAAAGAAUAUCAGGAGGAGCAAAGCUGCACUGUAUAAUAAUCUCGUAGACUCAUCUUUGUCAAUGUCUGUAUGGCAUCCAGUACAGCAAGGCACUAAGUAACAUGGUGACUUGGAGCUAUAGGGAAAUGUGUCCUACUGUGCCAGGCAAGGUGAUGCUCCUCAGACAGCAGAUGCAGAGGGACGAUCCCAUAAAGGCAGAUUAGCCUGCAGUGGGUUUCUCUGUCUGAUGAAGCCCUGAAUAGUGGCAGUCCAGUUCCCGUUGCAGCCAUGUCUGGGUAUCUUGUGAUACUCCAGCACACCUGCUGGCUGGGACAAAGGUCUUUCCUCUUUCUGUCCUUCAUGCUGAAGGACUUGUGCAACAUUGGACCGAUGCUGUUAUCACAGGCAUGGUGCUGUUAACUGCUUCUAACACCCACUGCAGGAUCUAAUGUGUGUACAUAAUAACGUAGUAAUGAGAUCAGUGUCUGUAUCUUGUACAUAUUUUAUGAAUAGACGAGAUAUCGAUAUGUUGGCUGGGAUUUCCAUAGGAGCUUAAGGGAGUUCUGUGCUGUGCUCCCAUUGAAAUGUGUAUGCCUUGCUUACUUAGGAUGGGCUAUUUAAAGGAGCCUAUGAGGCAUUUUACUACAGUGGGAGCAGAGUUAAACCAGUGCUGAAUACCUAUAUAUGCACACAUAAUAGGAAGCCGUAGAGAUUAUAAUCGCCUAGUUGUUACCUUACUCACUGGUGCCUUAUACUCCUCGCCAUGCCUUUGUGCUGUAUCCACAGCUCACUUUAUACACACACUCCUUUGGGCCAGCAAUCGCCUUCUGGUUCUACCUGCUUGCAGUGCCUCGCACAAUGGGGCGGGAUCUGUGGGAGCUACUGCCACGUAAAUAAAACAGCAAGAGGGCUUGGAUAGCAAAGUGAUAGGCAUUCUUGAAAUGAGAGAGAAGGAGCAUAUCUCUGGUUUAUGAACAGUGGAGUCAAUGACAGAGACACUAUCUUUAAGAUAAGGGAGAACAACCAUUUCUGUAAAUUCUCUCUGUUCCAGACUUUGGGGACUGAGAAAGUGUACAACAGAAAGGAGAAGACUAAGAAGAGGAAGGGUAGGCCUGUGGUUUGUGGAUUUCAGAGACCCAGAUUCGACUCCCUGUGUGACCUUGGACUAGUCACUUAGUCUCUCUGUGCCUCUGUUCCCCUUCUGUAAAAUGGGGAUAGGAGCGUGACUACCUCCCUGGGGUGUAGUGAGGAUUAACACAGGAAAGGUUGGGAGUGCUCAGAAAGGACCGUGAUGGAUGCCAUAUGAGUACUUCAGAUCAAUAGAAAUAAGUGCCUCAUAGACCACAGAGAGAUCUGGAGUUAAAGAGCCCAGCCUGAGGUUCAGUCUUCAAGGAGGCUGUGUCCCUUUGGGGUUUGCCAUGAUGAUGAUGAUGGGACCACAGAGAGAGACUCCCCAAGCCAAGGGAAUGCAGGAUGCUUUGGUGUGUCUAUGUUUGGGGCAGACAGAAGACAGAUUGAUAGCCUGCAGUGCUGUUCUGCAUUGCCUUUUAUAGAAGGGACACUCCUGUCCUUAUCCAGAACUGGUUAGCUCAUUUGUCUGGCCAGGACAAGUAAAAAAAAAUUACAGCUGUAAAGUGACUGAAAAAGGGCUGAGCUGAGAGACACAGAAUGACUCUGUCACCUGCUUGUAAA